rnacentral:rRNA from 1 species
CGGGACGGGUGAGUAAUGUCUGGGAAACUGCCUGAUGGAGGGGGAUAACUACUGGAAACGGUAGCUAAUACCGCAUAACGUCGCAAGACCAAAGUGGGGGACCUUCGGGCCUCAUGCCAUCAGAUGUGCCCAGAUGGGAUUAGCUAGUAGGUGGGGUAACGGCUCACCUAGGCGACGAUCCCUAGCUGGUCUGAGGGGAUGACCAGCCACACUGGAACUGGGACACGGUCCAG